GUGAUAUAGCUCAGUGGUAGACCGCGUGCUUAGCAUGCAUGAGGUCCUGGGUUCAAUCCUAGUAUCUACA
rnacentral:tRNA from 1 species